GAUGAAGAACGCAGCGAAAUGCGAUAAGUAGUGUGAAUUGCAGAAUUCAGUGAAUCAUCGAAUCUUUGAACGCACAUUGCGCCCUUUGGUAUUCCUUAGGGCAUGCCUGUUCGAGCGUCAUUUAAACCUUCAAGCUAAGCUUGGUGUUGGGUGACUGUCCGCUUCACGGCGGACUCGCCUCAAAAUUAUUGGCGGCCGGUACAUUGGCUUCGAGCGCAGCAGAAACGCGAACUCGGGCCCGUCGUAUUGGCUCCCAGAAGCUAUCUUCACAAUUUUGACCUCGGAUCAGGUAGGGAUACCCGCUGAACUUAAGCAUAUCAAUAAGCGGAGGGA
rnacentral:misc_RNA from 1 species